rnacentral:rRNA from 1 species
GGGAACCCUGACGGAGCAACGCCGCGUGAGGGAGGAAGGCCUUAGGGUUGUAAACCUCUUUUCUCUAGGAAGAAGUUCUGACGGUACUAGAGGAAUCAGCAUCGGCUAACUCCGUGCCAGCAGCCGCGGUAAGACGGAGGAUGCAAGCGUUAUCCGGAAUUAUUGGGCGUAAAGCGUUCGUAGGCGGUUCAUCAAGUCUGCCGUUAAAGACUGCAGCUCAACUGUGGGCCGGCGGUGGAAACUGAUGAACUUGAGUAUGGUAGGGGUAGAGGGAAUUCCCAGUGUAGCGGUGAAAUGCGUAGAUAUUGGGAAGAACACCAGUGGCGAAGGCGCUCUGCUGGGCCAUAACUGACGCUGAGGGACGAAAGCUAGGGGAGCG